rnacentral:rRNA from 1 species
GACGAACGCUGGCGGCAGGCCUAACACAUGCAAGUCGAGCGGAGCGGCGGACGGGCGAGUAAUGCCUAGGAAUCUGCCUGGUAGUGGGGGAUAACGUCCGGAAACGGGCGCUAACACCGCAUACUAUCAGAUGAGCCUAGGCGGGAUUAGCUAGUUGGUGGGGUAAAGGCGUACCAAGGCGACGAUCCGUAGCUGGUCUGAGAGGAUGAUCAGUCACACUGGAACUGAGACACGGUCCGGACUCCUACGGGAGGCAGCAGUGGGGAAUAUUGCACAAUGGGCGAAAGCCUGAUGCAGCCAUGCCGCGUGUAUGAAGAAGGUCUUCGGGUUGUAAAGCACUUUAAGUGGGGAGGCGUUACCCGCAGAAUAAGCACCGGCUAACUUCGUGCCAGCCGCCGCGGUAAUAC